AAUAUAACACAGGGGGGCUGGAUUUGGCCAGCUGAGAUAAAGAACCUUAAUUCUUUGACCCUAUGAACCUGAACUGGAUCAUGCCAGCGUAGGAAGUUGUUUAUUGAUGAGCU
rnacentral:ncRNA from 1 species